GUACACAGACAUUUCACCCUGCAGCCCAAGACCGGUUACUGACUGAAGGUAAACAGGGCUGAGCCUGGCCAGUAACUGGAUGAAAGACCACAUGGGAAAACUAGGUUGCUGUUAGAA
ensembl:rRNA 5S_rRNA 5S ribosomal RNA